rnacentral:rRNA from 1 species
AGGGUUUGAUCAUGGCUCAGAACGAACGCUGGCGGCGUGCUUAACACAUGCAAGUCGCGUGCGCAGUUCCCGUAGCAAUACGGGGAUGGGCGCACGGCGCACGGGUGCGUAACACGUGGGCAAUCUGCCCUCCGAUGGGGAAUAACCCCGCGAAAGCGGGGCUAAUUCCGCAUAACAUUCCUUGGACCUUGGUUUGAGGAUUCAAAGCAGCAAUGCGUCGGAGGAGGAGCCCGCGCCCGAUUAGCUAGUUGGUAGGGUAACGGCCUACCAAGGCAAUGAUCGGUAGCUGGUCUGAGAGGAUGGCCAGCCACACUGGAACUGAGACACGGUCCAGACUCCUACGGGAGGCAGCAGUGGGGAAUCUUGCACAAUGGGCGAAAGCCUGAUGCAGCGACGCCGCGUGGGGGAUGAAGCUUCUCGGAGUGUAAACCCCUUUCGCCUGGGACGAAUGCCCGCAAGGGAGUGACGGUACCAGGAUAAGAAGCCCCGGCUAACUACGUGCCAGCAGCCGCGGUAAGACGUAGGGGGCCAGCGUUGUUCGGAAUUACUGGGUGUAAAGGGUUCGUAGGCGGUGCGGCAAGUUGGGAGUGAAAUCUCUGGGCUCAACCCAGAGGCUGCUUCCAAAACUGCUGUACUUGAGUGUGAGAGAGGCUCGUGGAAUUGCAGGUGUAGCGGUGAAAUGCGUAGAUAUCUGCAGGAACACCCGUGGCGAAAGCGGCGAGCUGGAUCACUACUGACGCUGAGGAACGAAAGCUAGGGGAGCAAACAGGAUUAGAUACCCUGGUAGUCCUAGCCCUAAACGAUCAGGACUUGGGGUGCCGCCCGUUCGGGCGUCGUCCCGGAGCUAACGCGUUAAGUCCUGCACCUGGGGAGUACGGUCGCAGACUGAAACUCAAAGGAAUUGACGGGGGCCCGCACAAGCGGUGAAACAUGGUGG